rnacentral:rRNA from 1 species
GACGAACGCUGGCGGCGUGCUUAACACAUGCCAGUCGAACGGAAAGGCCCUGCUUUUGUGGGGUGCUCGAGUGGCGAACGGGUGAGUAACACGUGAGUAACCUGCCCUUGACUUUGGGAUAACUUCAGGAAACUGGGGCUAAUACCGGAUAGGAGCUCCUGCUGCAUGGUGGGGGUUGGAAAGUUUCGGCGGUUGGGGAUGGACUCGCGGCUUAUCAGCUUGUUGGUGGGGUAGUGGCUUACCAAGGCUUUGACGGGUAGCCGGCCUGAGAGGGUGACCGGCAAAAUGGGACUGAGAUACGGCCCAGACUCCUACGGGAGGCAGCAGUGGGGAAUAUUGCACAAUGGGCGGAAGCCUGAUGCAGCAACGCCGCGUGCGGGAUGACGGCCUUCGGGUUGUAAACCGCUUUCGCCUGUGACGAAGCGUGAGUGACGGUAAUGGGUAAAGAAGCACCGGCUAACUACGUG